AGAGUUUGAUCCUGGCUCAGGACGAACGCUGGCGGCGUGCCUAAUACAUGCAAGUAGACGAACGGGUGAGUAACGCGUAGGUAACCUACCUCAUAGCGGGGGAUAACUAUUGGAAACGAUAGCUAAUACCGCAUAAGAGAGACUAACGCAUGUUAGUAAUUUAAAAGGGGCAAUUGCUCCACUAUGAGAUGGACCUGCGUUGUAUUAGCUAGUUGGUGAGGUAAAGGCUCACCAAGGCGACGAUACAUAGCCGACCUGAGAGGGUGAUCGGCCACACUGGGACUGAGACACGGCCCAGAC
rnacentral:rRNA from 1 species